rnacentral:snoRNA from 1 species
AGUCUCAAAUCAGUAAUCUAAACAAUCACCUCAAGAAGAAAGAAAAAAUAGGAGGCAGGGUAAACUUACCCAUAUACACCUCAGCUCAGGCUCUUUGCCUGGUCUGUAUUGUGACUGGGGAGACACUG